GCCACAUUUGCUUAGAUCUUCUUGCUGACCCUUCUAGAUGUUAACACCAUCUCUGUCAGGCCGCUCUUCUGAGGGCAGAGUAGAAAACACCGUUCCGAGUUAGGGCUCUCGGCACCCCCAGACUUUCUGCUGCGGCUGCAGAAGACUGGUGAUUCUCUGAAUCCAUUUCUGGUCCUUGAUGGUGAGAAUUGGAUCCGAAGAAAGCUGGUGGCAGCUCUCCUCUCCCAUCUGUCCUCUCUGAGAUGUAAGAAUGGGAGCUCUCCUUACCGCAGGCCAGUUCUUCCUUUCUACCUGGCUACACCGGUGCCCUGGCAUGCGUCUGCUCUGCUGCCCUCUGCUUUAAGUUUCUGAGUAAAGAUUUUCAGAAACAAAGGACUCUGCAUCAGCCUUAUCCACCAACCAAUGAAUCAGAGCUGAGGACCGAACCCAGGGUCUUGCGCUUGCUAGGCAAGCACUCUACCACUGAGCCAGAACCCAAACCUGGAUGUUAGGGUUGCUCUUCUCACCUCAGUGAACUGAACCUACAUAGGCUCCACAGGAAUGUCCAAAGGCCUGCCUCCUAUACGAUUCUAUAUCUUGUCAAACGACAAUAUUAACUUUCCUAAGGAGUGAGAAGUUUUUUUUCAUAAAACUUACUUUGAAGCCAUUACAA
rnacentral:lncRNA from 1 species